rnacentral:lncRNA from 1 species
UAAGCCAUAUCUCCUCCCAUUCUUCCUAUGGAUAUGCCUUAUAUCGCUCGUGCUCGUGGUGCUGUUAGCUGAUGAUAGCUAGAUGCUAUUUUUUUUUCCAUUCUGAAUGUCCGUCGUGUUGCCUAGACAGACUUAUUUUUUCGUUAUGUGGACCUGUGGUCGUCGUGUAUGCUCAUGUCGUGAUGAGCAUUUGGUGUAAGGUUUGACUGUGACUGCUUGGUGUGUUAUUCAGUAGUGCUACUAGAUUGAAAACCUCUAUUCUGUGUCCAGUAUUUUUGGGUCAAGUUGCCAAAUAUGCUUCUGUCAUCUUGUGAUCUUGCAAUGCGUUUGAACUGGAGUCUAUCAUGCUUUGGGUGAAUGAACUUCCAACCUACAGGCAAGCUCAUUUGAUCUUGGAAUGAAGGCUUAAAGUUGAACUGACGAGUCAAUUAUGCUUUGGUUGGUUCUUGUAGCGCUAUUAUAUACAUAUAUGCUGUUAUUAUUUCUUAAUGCCAAGUUGCCUUAACAAGCUUUUUUUAGGUUAAUAGGCUUUGUUUCUUAUACGAAUCUCCUGCCAUUUUGGAUUGGCAAAUCUGAUUUCACAAUGUAGUUUUGGUCUUGUAGGAAAGUGGAAUCUGUUUUGCUUUAUGCAUGUGAAUAAUCUUUAAAAAAAUGCAAGGGCAUUUCAAAAGUAGAACUGGUGCGUGGCAUAAACGAUCAAACAGAACCUUCUUAUAAGUGGCAUCUGUUCUGUUUGGUUGAACUUUGUUAACACAACUGAGAUCAGAUUACAGGAGGGAAUGAAAAAAAUGCCAGCUUUGUUUGGUUCGAGUGUGCACCGGAAACGUAUCCCUUCAUGGCGCUUGGUCGAGGAAGUUGCACAACUGUUCAAGAAGAGGAAAUCUUGUACCACAACCAUGGUGGCUCAUGGUACCAGGAAAGCAGCAGACACACUGAUCCAACACAGGCAAAACUGGAUACCAAAAUUUGGUGUAAUAAAACUGAAGUAAUCUUGGACUGAACGAAUAACUUGGAUAUCCAGUACCACACAAUAUUUUCACUCUUCGACAGAAAUGAAACUCAAAGUACAGAAGUCAGGUGCCAAUGUUAGCAACCUCAGGUUUGGAGCUCGAAGGUAUUGUGGCCAUCCGGGCAAUCAGUAUUUCCCUCAACAGCUUGGAUAGUAAAGAACAAUGAUCAUAUUGAAGUGAUCUUGCCAGUUUCACCCCCUCAAAAGAAAUUAAGUUCUCAUUUUCAUACAUUGUUAAUACUAAAUCCACAAAAUUAUUAUAGCUCACAGAGAAACUCUCGGAUCACGCCGACAGUUGUGUGAUACCACAUGAAUAUCUAACAUGAUGACAGUCUCAAACAUUAGGACGGACACUACAAAAUCUCAGAAACUCGUAGGACAGUGGCUUAUCCGAGGAAGUUCAUGAUCACCAGGUGGAGCACCAGAUUGCACAGGACAAAAUCUGCAAAGGCCCUUUCUGGAGGAAGAUCCUGCAGAUAAUGUUUUGACGUACAGCGUCAUGCUGGAAAUCCAAAGAACAAACUAUCGCAGCAGAUAAAACACGAACAGUGAAAAUAGAGUUACCUUGAAUUCCUUGUUGUCCUUGUUGACUUGAAUACGGAGGCACACUGCAAAAACGUAGGCAGUUACAUAUCAUGCAGCCAAGGAAGGGUAACCAGGAUCGAGAGGGGGUUAAGAAAUUCUUACCAGCAAGCACUGCAGUUCCUAUGCAUGACAGGACACCUGAGAGGAACGAGUUGAAGGGAAAUGACCCAACUACUCCCAUGUAAGCAACCUGGUUUGCCACAUGAGAGAGCAUUUUAAUAGCUUUCAAAUGGCUUGCCUUUUUUUUAGUUAUGGGUGAACCAGAAGACUUAUGGCUUAUAAGUUGAACACAAGGCUAAUGCUUAUUGCUUAGUCAGCAAACACACGUGAUUAAAGGAAACUUGCACUGAAUAUUAAUAAUCUGGGUAAGACACCCUAUAUCACACCUAGACAACCACGGCUAACACUUUCAUCUGCUAAAUCAAACAUUUAGCAAUCCAUGACAUUUACGCCUACACGAAUUCAGUUACCAGAUGGCUAGGUAGAAGGUAGAGCAGAUUUUUGCAAGCUGAUACCCUGCUCCUAUUCAAAAUUGAGAAAUGUGGUAUAAUAAGCAAAAAUAAUAUCACACUUCCUAAAUCCUCAUGCUAUACUAGAACAAAAUAUUUCAUAAUUUGAAUAUAUUCUUGCUUUCUUCAAAAAACGAAGUUGUCCAAGUAAGAUUCUAACUUCUCCAUCCUAAAUCAUAUAUCUUCGGUAGAACAUAAAGCAUCAAAAUUUACCUGAACAAGGGCAGUCACUAUGGCGAAAACAACAUACAGAUCAAUGAUCUGCAGAAAAAUGAGAAUAUGAUGAGCAACCGGAUAGUCGACAGUGGCCACAGGUUGGCAGUAACACGAGAGAGAAUGGCAAUUGCCUUGAGAUUUGCGGGCGUGGCGGCAUAGGCCUUGUUCAGGGACUGGAUCAGGAGCUUGGCAUCACCCGUAUCCUUCGGCAUCCUCGUGAAUCCGUCAGAACGCCUGGAGUUAACCAGUAAGAAACAAAAAUAAUUCACAAUCAGAUUCUCUUGCACUGCAACAAUGUUAAUCAAAACCUAGCAGCUGACAGCAUGCAUCCGGAAUUCGGACCCAUUUCUUUCCAGAAUGGUAAUGCAAACAAUGGAUUUCUACUGUUACCGUAAUGAAAUGGGCAAGAAUCAAAAUCUGUUUGGUUGCUACGAAAUGUAACAUCAAUCAAUACCCGAGUUCAGUGCGAGUCGAUUCGUGGGCUCACAAAAAAAAAUUCAGAUCACAAAAACCUUUUAAUUGGUGAUCUGUAGUUGAAUCUAGAUGUGGUUGCAGUCUAUGACCAAAUGUUGAAUUCGGAAGAGAUGUGUCGGUUUGCAACGACGUUAACACAAAUUGUAAUCGAAUCAAGUGAUUGUGGGUUUGGUUGGGGUGUCAUGGCCAUUUCCCCUUAAUUUUGCUCCGUCCCGCGCUACAUUGUGGUGUCUGGCUAAGAACCUUCAUGCCCACACAGGCAGUACAUAGUAAACCUUGAAGAGAGCAUCAUAUUCAUAACAAUCUGAAAAUAUAGAAAUCUGAAAACAGCAGCAUCAGGCAGAGAUCUCAACCAGCAUUCAGAGUUUAAAGGGCACUCAUUAGUCAUUACAUAAGCGCAUGUGACAGAGAUCUCAAAGCUGAGCAGGGCAAGCGCGGCAGGCAAGAAGAGCUUGCGCAAAGGGCCCGGCCACAGGGUGAUGGAGAACAGCCUGGGAUCUGGAGGGAGAGGCGUGGGGUGCGGAGAACGGGAGGAGAAGAAGCGCCACUCACCUCAAGCAGUGACGGUCUGGCUGGCUUGCCGCGGCGCGCCGGUAGCUGCCCUCGAGGUAAGGAAGGCGAAGGGGAGGCAGAUCGGGGGUUUCCGCCGCCGGCGCUCGUGGAGAAGAAGCGUAGGGGGGUGGAUGGUGGGGGUGAGCUGGAUGAGGCUCGAGUUGGGCCGUAAUCGGUUCGCGCAGUGCAGUAUGCGUUAGCGGGCCGAGCCCACCAAACACUUCUUUUUUUUUUGUAGGGAAUCAGGUACUAAAAAGGGGGGGGGGUAAAAUCUGCAGUAUUUACUCAAAAAAUUUACUGAAUAAAAGAGGUAAAAUCUGCAGUAUUCCUAAAAAAAGGGUGAAAUCUUCUGUAGCACGGAUAAAAUGAACUGAAUCUUUUUAUAUGUCUCGGAUAAAAUAAUUCCACGGCACGGUAACAAUCGCCGAACACAACCACUAGUACUACUAUCUUGCACAAAAGAAUGUAGAAUCCCGCACACUCACACACGACAUGCACAAAUCUCAGCCCCCAAAGAAUUCGAAUUCCCCCUCGUUACACACACGUCUGGCACAUCUCCAUUUUUUCUUUCUUAGCACUUCUUGGCGAGGGCGCUCUUGGCCUUGUGCCGGAAGAGCACCCGCUUCCUCCCGCGGGUCGCGUUCUCCACCGUGAUCACCACCCUGCCGGCCUCCGCGGCCCGGAACGAGUUGCGCACCGCCUCCUCGCCGGCGCCCACCUUCCGCCCCUUGCUCACCACGAUGGUGUACGCGCCCUCGUCCGCCGGCACGAACUCCUCCGUGUACCUCACCUCCCACCCCAGCACCGUCACGUCCCAGGUCAGCGUCGUGUCGCCCUCGGCGGCCUCGAUCUCGAUGGUCUCGGUGGCGCCCGCCUUGACGACCACCUCGGCGAUCUCGGCGUCGUGCUCGCCGGUGAACUCGGCGUCGCCGUCGCGCUUCAGCCCGCCGUACUUCACCGGGAUGGCCUCGAUCGGGAUGUACUUGAGCAGCGUCUCGGUGACCUUGGAGGGCCGGGCGACGACCAGCUUGCUCUUGGUCCGCUGCGUCAGGAACGGGAAGAAGACGGUGGUGAAGGCGUAGUAGGAGAACGGCACGUUGAUCAGGAUCUGCAGCACGGCGGCGCCACCAAAAUUCAGUCAGAUCUCGAAGCAAUUUCAUGGCAUGAUUGGGGGGGAUGAGAUCGAAAUGUUUUGGGCACUCACGUUCCGGGCGACGAGCUCGGGGUAGUUGUCCUGGAAGAGGUCGAGCACCUGCUUCAUGGCGACGCGGAGGUCCUUCCUGGCGGGGCCGGGGGAGCCGCGGAGGUCGGUCACCUGCAGCAGCGACGCGGCGCCGCCGGGGCGGAAGUCGAGCUCGGCCACGUGGCGCUCCAUGGCGCGCACCCGCCACCGGAGGAACCGGGCGGGCUUCUUGCCGCCGUCGGUGCCGAGCGCGCUCCUGUACACGGCCUCGUCCGCGAACACGCCCAGCGCGUUGUAGCACACCGGGUGGCCCUCGCGGUCCGUGCCGUCCAGGCGGCACGCGCCCUCCGGGAGCGCGUCGCCCUCCUCGUCGUCGCCGUCGGCCGCGGUGGCCGCCAGGCUCUUCCACUCCCGGCGCCACCGGAGCGUGCGGCGGAGCAUCUCGAAAGCGGCCCCCGCCUUGAAGUCGCGCGCGCGGAGGAACUUGAGGAGCACCACGUCCGUCGCCUCGUCGCCCUUGCUCAGCAGCAGCGGCACGCCCCACAGCGCCACGUCCUUGUCGACGACGACGACCGCAGCGGCCGGCGCCGCCUUCUCGCCCUCGACGGCCUCCUCUUCCGCGGCGGCAGUCUCCUCCUUCUCCUUGACUGGCUCGGGCUCCUCCUUCUCCUUGACUGGCUCGGGCUCCUCCUUCUUCUCCUCUUCCGCCACGGCCUCCUCCUUCUUCUCCCCGGCCGGCUCGGCCACCUCCUCCUUGGCUUCCUCCUCUUUCUUCUCCACGGCCGGCGCGGUCACAUCCUCCUUCUUGGCUUCCUCCCCCUCCUUCUUCUCCUCGGCCUUCUUCUUCUUGCCCUCCUUCUUCUUCCCCUCCUUCUUCUUGGCCUCCACCUUCACCUUCACCUUGCUACUCCCCUCCUCCAAGUCGAACAGCUUGCCCUCGACGAUGGCCUCCUCGACCUUAGCCCGGAGCUCAGCGAGCGCCUUCCUCUCAGCAUCCUUGAGGUCGCCCAGCCGGUUGCUCUCCUCCCUGAACGACAUGUUCUUGGCCACGGCCACGGCGGCCGCGCCCGCCUCCACCUCCACCUUCGCGCGCACCUCCUUCGCCGGCGCCACCGCCUCCACAGCCCCGCCGGAGACGACCUCCACGCCCAUGCCGAUCAACAACAACAGAGGAUUUCACAACACAAUUAGAAAAGAAAAUCAAAAGCCGGAUAUUCCCAGUGCGGUGUCAGAGACAGGCGAUGGAGAGGGGAAGGUGGCUUUGGUGGACGGUGGUGUGGGGAGCGGGGAGGAAGAAGGGGGCGCUAUAUAGCGGCCACCGCGGCGUCGCAACGGCUACGGGGCGGGGGCCAAUGGGGUGGCGCCAGGUAGGACGGGGAGCCGUUGGGUCGUCCGUCUACGCUUUUUUUUUUUUUUGAGGGAAGUCCGUCUACGCUUUUUUCCUUCUGCGGCGCGGAGCCGGGUGGGCCGCGGCCCAUGCCAACGGCUACCUCCUCCUUGCUAACCGCUUUUGUUUGUUCCGCGCGGCAGUGCUCCCUCGCUGCUGGCUACAGGCAGGCAGUAGAGAGGCCAUGCUAGCCUGCGUUUUUUUUCCCCUUUUUUUUAUGAGAAGAAAGAUGCUAGGCUGUUUCUGUUCUGUGUCCGCUCUUGUUUCAUUGAUUGAUUCGCUUUUGUUUGCUGGGCCCGUCCCCCUACUUUUUUUCAGCACUUUUUAUUUAUUACCUGUUGUUGUUAAAUCUGACUGACUGACAGCUUGGCGCUUGACCUGACAGCAGGCGCUCUUGUUCUUGCUCUAGGCCAAGUCAUAUUGUUCACACACUAAUUACUCACUCCGUCCGGAAAUACUUGUCAUCAAAAUGAAUAAAAAGGGAUGUAUCUAGAUGUAUUUUAGUUCUAGAUACAUCUUUUUUUGUCCAUUUUGAUGACAAGUAUUUUCGGACGGAGGGAGUACUAAUUAUGAAAUUUGUAUUAUUAUCGCAUUUAGUGGCGGGUUGUUUACGGCGUCACAGCCAGUUUGUGAGCUGGAGAAAUGAAAUGCAUGCAAAGAGGUGGUGCUUGUUUUAAUUGGUGGCAGGAACAAGUACGCAUUUUUUAAAUGAAAUGUUCAUAGUGUAAGAUUAUUGUGCAUUCGGUGGUGCAUUGCAUAUGGCCUUUUGCAAGCUGGAGAGAUAAAAUAGUGGUUGUUUUGAUACGGACAAACGGACACACAUUAAAAUAAAAAAAAUGGUGAAGGAACAAGUACGCCUUCGGUUGGCCCAUACAGAUACAGCUGCGGCAGCAGCUCCAGUAGGGUGUACCGCCGUUUGCCAAAAAAGAGAGUAGGCUGUACAGCGAAGCAAAGCGGCCGACUGUUGAGCAAAGCAACGGCCAUUGCCGUUGCCAAUCAAGCAGGCAGAACCAGCCUUGCUUUUGGUCCAGCUGGCUGCCCGUCAGAAACACCUGGCAAGCAAGACCAGCCCCAGCUGGCCGUUAACGAAGGGCCGGACAGCGGCACAGGGGGAGAAGCACGAACGAACGGCGCAAAGUUAGGCGGGGAAGGAAGUGCUGGUUACCGACGAUCCAAUGAUCACAGAUUUUGGAAGCAUUCGUCGUCCCAGCUCAGAUCCAAAUAGAUUUGGUCACCACAUGGUCGAUGGCAUGUGCUGGGUUUUUUUUUUAGACAAACUCGCAAAGCCUUUAUUCAUGAUUAAUCAAACAAGAAGAAAAAACUCUAAAACGGUCUAUGAUUUCAUGCACCACGGCCCCAUAUUGUGCACAUGUGCCUUUUUUGAUCGCUUCGACGGCCAUUUUGCAGCCUGACGCCACUGAAAUUCUGUCAUGGGCCUCCGAUGCGCAAGUGCUGGGUGGCAGGACAAUUCAAAACAUGGGCCUCCGAUGCGCAAGUCAUGGCUUCUGCUGAUGCAUGCAAACUUGAUACUAAGGAUAAAUGUGUCAUGGACCUCCAACUGCUACAACCGUCGGAAGGGCAUACAAAGAAUAACCUACUAGCGGUUGAGAUGAGCUUUCGCUGCUGACACGACACGGCCUCCGCCUGGUGCGACGAUUAAUUACAAUAAUAUGAUCUAGCUUGCUAUACACCACCACACCCCAGCAAUGCCUGCAUGUGGCUGUCUUAGUAAAGGUUAGUAGCCUUCGACCACAUUUUUCGCACCAGGAAUCAGCUCAAAUGCAUGAACGAUCAAGUUAGCCGAUUUGCCGCGAUCACACGGCAAACUGCCAACUGCGCCAUCCACAGAAGCGACAACCAUGAUAUCUCAACCGUGUCAACUGUCCGGGAGAGCGAGUAAAAGUAAAUCAGCGUUGGUAACUUGUCGUCGAUUUCUGACGAAUCUGCUGCUUCACCACCUUUGCUACAAUGGCCUCGUCGGCUUCCUUGUAUUCACCAGUAACCCUGUGGCAGGAAAUACGACGAUGAUUUGGUUAUUAACUUAGCCAUGCAGUUUGAAGAUGAGGUAAACUACAUAAACCAUAAUUUGACCCUUUACGAAGGCACUUCAGAAAUUAUGGAACAAAGCAGGAAAAAAUCAUUAUGUUGAAAUGGUUCUGAAGGAUCAUCAAGAAACCUCAGUUUAGAAAAUGAUGGAAACAAUUAGUUUUGUGAUGAGCAUACCGGUCAUAGGUCAAGAAAGCAUCCCCUAUUUGCCCAAUCACUUUGUUCCGAACCUUCUUCAUACAGACCUAUGAUUCGCCAUCCAACCCGGCAAAACAGAUAAGAGUCAGGCACUGUCAUUAAAAUGAAGCAUAUGUUGAAAAGGUGCAAAUAUCAACCUGCACGACAUCCACAGGGCCAGCAUCUGGAUCCCUGUUCCGGUGUAUGACGAUACCAUUAUCACAUUUGUUUAUGAAAUGCGCACUUCCACUGAUGUCGUACAUAUUAGGCGGUGCGCCAGUCCAGUUGUGAAGCUUUUUAAAACAUUAACACCAAAUGAGACCCCGUUGUAUAGUGCAAUUGUGUGGCAAAGAUCAAUAUGGGAUUAUGUGAAAUUUGAUUACCUGCCUAGGGUGCGCAACAAACCAUACGUGACAUGAAUGAUGUUGAGCAAAGCGCUUAAUCUUCGUAAGGAUCUGGCUGACAUAUUCUGUCUCGGUUCUGUUAAUAACAUAGCAAAGGAUUUAACUCACCAAAACAGAAGGGAAACAUAUGUAGCUGGGUAAUAGCAAAGUUAUAGUUGACAUACUUGCAAAAACGCUACCUAUCUUUUACAAUGAAUGUAUGAAACCGCUAUUAGUAAACGGUAAAUCAUGCUCAUGAGAGGUUUAGGUAAUGCUUACUGAUUUGGGGGGCGCUGAUGGUCAAGCUCAUUAUAAGGAUCAAUCACAAGACCACGUACUCCAUGUCUUAGAACUGCAGCUUUAGCAAGAUUGAGAACCCAAUCGAUGGAUGGAAGGCAAUCAUCUUCACACCUGAUUAAGCAACACAUAUUCAACGUCAACUUGAAAUGUGAACCACCAUUUAAUACAGGCACAUCAUCCAAGAGAAAUACAACUACUAUCCCUUCCGAGUAAAGUGCCUAUGAAGAGAAGCCAAGACACACACUGAUGCUACCACACACUUCUAAAUAGAGCAGUCCUGAUGACUGAAAAUAAAUAUUGAUAAUAGUGGCAGCUACGAAUGUAGCCGAAGAUGAUGAAGAACAAGUCUUGUGACAAUAUGUUAUUGGUUUAGCAGUUUAGCAGGCCUUGGAAGUGCUACAGAGACCUUUCAAGCAGCCACAAGGAAACAAUUUUGGUUUUCGUUUCGUUUCAUCAACAAUCUAUAUAGGCAGCACAAAACACAAGUGACUGAGUUUGACUCCAAUGAAGCGAGAUAAAUUUUGCUACAAAAAGCGAGAUAAGUAGAAAAUUUGACGCUAAAAAAUAUUUUAAAUUCCAAAGUUCAUAUUGACAGAUUACAGCAUGCAACUCAGACAAACCAAGCUUAUCUUUUUCUAGAAAUGGAAUUGGAGAAUGAUAACUACAAUGCGUUGCUCCUUUCCAUAUAUAGUACAUUUGGAUUAUAGUGUUUACAUGCUUCUUUUUGCUAUUUAUGCCGCCGCUCUUUGUUGCUUAGUUCCUCUCAUCAUUUGGAAUUUCAAGCUAAUAUCGACCAGACCCUUGCCAACGUCCUCAUAUGGAACAAACAUAUGAUACAAUGUAUGGUAAGUUUAUAUAAGUGAUCAUUUUGUUCUGUGUUUGGUAUAUAGUUCAUAUCACAAUUCACAAAUAUAUAAUUUUAUUUUUAAAAUGUUAAAACCAGUAUUGGUUAAAACACUUUCAAGGGUGCUUUCUGAAACAGUGAUGCAAGGUGGGGUGGUCGCUUGCUGACCUAUUACUUAGUGUGUUCAGUCUCGGGAAUGGAAUCAACCGACAACCGGGACAAAACCGGCAGAAGGAAGAGCUCCAGUUCUAAAAUUUGCGUAAGGUGGGUUUCAUGGGCAGAUCCAAACUGUCUUUAAAAACACAGACGACUUACCACUAUUUAAAACAAGGUGACUAAACUUAGUAUAUACCUAAUCAGAUGGAAUGACUCAUUCAACCAUUCUUUGCCUUCUUCAAAUUCAUCUUGAUUCAUCCGUUCCACAGAACCCCCAUAUCUGUAGAAACCAAAACAAGGAUUGCUAAACCAACAAGAAUAAAUAGCCAAAGUUCAGAGUAGAAUCUAUUCCAAAAGAAUCUUCUGUUGACUUCACAGUUGAUAGCACGUGAGCUUACUCUCUUCCUCAAAAGGAACUGUCCUUUCAAAGGCAGUUGCUUAUUCUAGGUAUCAUAUAUGAGAUCAGACACAAACAGAGAUACACUUGCAGACUCUUAUCCUUACCUGGCAUCAAAGAAAGGUUUCUUAAUGUGCUUCUCCAAUAGUUUCCGGGCAUGGUCUCUGACCUAAACACCAAAAUCAUCGUUAUUUCGAGGUGUCGAAUGAAAUGAAAGGCUAGAUAGCAUUGAUAAUAAACAAUGGCUUGCCUUGUUUUCCAUCGAGCAUAGUACAAAUUUCCACCCAACCUGAUUGUUUAUAUUACACAGUAAUGCAUCGAUCCACUCACUUUUGCCGGAAUUUGGUACUCCUGUUACUAUGGUCAAUUCCCCAGGAACAACCUGCAGGAAAAUAAACAAAAUCACAUGAGAAAUUGUGGGUAAUGUAUUGAAGUCUGCAACUAUAGCGCUUCCAACGCGCUACAGUUCAGGCCAUCUUUUUAAGCACGCUAGCCACUGAAGCUGGAAGCAUAUAAUUGCUUUCAGCUAGAUGAACAAGUCAGAAAACAUGACUACAUGCCACAUGUCAACAGCUAUUCCCAAAAUUGGUUAAAUAAUCUGGUUUCAUGUUGCAGUCAGAAAAAGACCUUCGAUGUGCAAAUAAAGAAAAGAAAAGGAACUCUUGACAGGAAGAAAUCACCCAGUUGUUUUCAACAAGUAUUAAGGAGUCAGAAUACAUGACUACACAGUAUGAAGUUCACUGAAAUUGGUUAAAUGAUCUGAUUUCAUGGCAUAUGUCAACAGCCAUUGCGGUCAUAAAACAAGCUUCUAUGUGCAAAAGAAAACAAAGGAGCUCUUUAACUUGGCAAGGGACGAAGCCAGCUCGAACCGAGCAAAAUUGGAUGAAAAACAAAUAAAAAACACAACUAAUAGAUACCUUGUAGAGCCCAUCCAUACAUUUCCAACCAGUAGGAAUUCCAAGCUCAUCCCCAUGAAUUCCUAGAUAAUAACUGUCGAUCUCAGGGAAGAAAUCUUUGAAGUUGAAUAGACCUCUUAUAGGAUACAGUUCGGCACCUUCUAUAACCUCUUUCAAUGCUUGUGGUCCUAAGAACAUAAGUACCUGUAGUUGAAAAGGGAGUUACAAGGAUCAACUACAGGACAUGUAAGAACACCCAAAGUUCCAAAACAGAGCUAAAGAUAAUAGGAACUGAACUUAAAUGUGGCUAUAUAUUUCAGAUGGUUCUUCAGAAUGUAGAUUAAUUGCAUACACAAAACCUUACAGGCUUUAACUAAGAACAACAAGUAGAUUACUUUCAGAAAGCAUCAUAAUACGUUAAUACUACAAUCUAGGAUGAGGAGGUUAACAUUUAGACUCUCGAUACAAGUUAGCAUAAGCUUAUCGCUAGAGAGUCACAUUAGGAGCAGGACAUUUUUACACCUCUUACGCCCUGAUCAUACUUUAACAUCAGAAAUCUUUCAGCAUGAAAGACAAGCAAAAGAAUGAUAGCAAUAUUAUUUAUUAGUCAAAGUUGCAUAUGCAUGCCAUAAAAAACCUCGUUAGCAUCUUUGCAAAAUUCCGUCUCAUUCUUCUUUGGCCAUUUGACCCUCCAACACCUGAUUGCAUCAAAUUAAAUGUGGAAAACGAGUUAAAUGAGGACCUGCAGUCAUAGGUCAUUAAAGUAAUUGUGGAGGCUUAUGAUUGCAACACAAUGGCAGACAAACCUUUCUUUACCAAGACGUCGAGCAAGUUCCUCAGCAAGAGCCUGCCCUGGAGGAUCAGCAUCCGUUGCCAGUAUUAUCCUAGAUGCCUAAUACCAUAUAUCCGAACAUAUUCAGUACACCAAACCUUGUAUCUUAACAAUAGAGUUUGCAAAUAACUUUUGAAACGAGGAAAAUGCGCACCGGAUCAAGAUACUCUUUGCAGUUCCACAGAUAUGAAUACUUCUUAUCCUAGCUUUACAGGGAAUGUAAGAAGAUGUUAGGUCACAGUUCAGGUUUCCAGUACAGACCAGCUCACAUUAAAGGAGCUAUUACUAAUAAAUAACAGUGGCAAACAUAAACUCUAGUGACAAAAACUAGCAGCAGUAUCAGAAAAUGGUUCAAACAUGAUCUUUAUCCGGGAGUUUGUUUGAUACUUGCGCUGGUGCACCAUCUGGCACACUCACACAAUUACGAUAGCCAGCCUCCUCCAUGGAAAGUUUAUCAAUUUCACCCUCAACCUGCAAUGUCAGAAAGGACAAUAAGCUAGUAAAUACUUUGUGAACUCAAGCUCAAAUGGAUUGGCAACAAAAAAUAAAUAAGAAAAAUGUCGCAUGGCUUACGUAGAACAUACAAUGAUAAUAUCGCGUGCUUGCUUUAUAUCAUCCAGACCAUACAAAAUUUUCUCUGUGUUCGCCUCCUGUUAAGAAAAAAUGAGUAUGAACAAUAUUCAUAGAAAUAUAAAUUAAGCAUGCAACCUAAAAAGGAACAGCAGAACAAACCUGUGAAAAUUUCUUAGAGACUUCCCUGUAUUUGCAGCCAACAAGGACUUUAUCACGUCUAUAUGUAAAAGCAAUAACAAUCUGCAAACGAAAUACCAUAUUUGUGAAUCCCAAUGCAUGUUUUUCCAUUGUAAAAAUGCAUCAACAGUACAGUCAUACCUUGUUAUUCCUUUUACGUUGCGAUACGUUGUUCCUUCGAAGUGUUUUUGCCGAUAUCAUUCUUUCUGAAAAGUAUGUCACAAGCUGCAAGAGAUAACCAUCUUACAGGCAUGUGCAAAAGUUUUUGCCAGCAUAAAACAAAGAAUGCAAAAGAGAAUUAUGAAGAUGGUUUCAGUAUCAUUUGAAGAAUAUACCAAUCAAAAACGUCUACUUGAUAAUACUUCCAUUACCUCAUCACAAAGAGGUUCGAGACGCAGGUCCUCUUCACGAAGUUUUCUGAUAACCUUGACUGGCUGAUUUGCUUUGACUUCCUGGUCACUUUCAUUUUCAUUUCCCGGGUCCUUCUUUGCUUGGUACGCCUUCGAAACUCCAUCAGGCUGCAGAUGCAAGACAGAACAAUAGUGGUAUCAAGAUGCUAUAUUACUUUCGGUUUUCUUUAAGUUGUUGGUAAACUCACCUGGGUAUAGCCUUUCCAUCCACAAUUUGCUCUAAAACAAGUCCAGUUUCCAUGUGUACUGAAGAAACAGCAUAGAACAGAGAUCAGAUAACCUACAGUACAUACUCCCUCCGUCCCAAAAUUCUUGUCUUAGAUUCAUCUAUAUACGGAUGUAUCUAAUACUGAAACGUGAUACAUCCGUAUUGAGACAAAUUUAAGACAAGAAUUUUGGGACGGAGGGAGUAUACCUUAAGAAACAACUCCAACUAACAAGCUCAAAGUGUGCUGUACAUAAAAACUCACCCAUCUUCCCGGAUGAAGACGCUGAGGCUUCGUUCCUCGGUUGAGCCCCCUUCGCACUAGUUAACAGAAGGGAAAUCAUACUUAACCAUUUGCUGUUUGAUAGAAUAUAAAGUACAAUGGAUCACCAAAAUAGCAUAUAUUAAUCUGUAUUAUAUACAGAUGAACAUGUUUGUAAGCUGGUCAUCAAAUUGAUCAUAAUGUGCAGCCACUUCAUUUCAAGAACGCUCUUUUUGUGGAAGGCAUGCUCGUUAAUACAUACUUCCAAUGUGCACGAUAUGUGAAACAGAAAUAAGCUAACUAAACCGAUCAAUACAAAUUAUGGCUGUGAAUUCUUGAUGUACUCAAUCCACACAAAGUAACUGUAGCUGUGAAUUCUUGAUGUUCUCAAUCCAGAAACAAUAACCCUUUUAGCUUAUUUGCUUACCCAACUAAAUACAUCAUGAAAAGAAAAGCAAAUGGAAACAACAAUUCUAGGUACCAGAAAAAGGCAUACCUGUGGGCAAAUCGUCCGUUGAAAAGUGCCAAGCCUCCAUUGGCUCAUAUCUAUCCCUUCCUUUUUCAUCUUCUCAACUACCUGCCCUAGUCGUUCUUCACAGGCCCUUCUCUCCUCCAUCGAACGAACUGUUAUCCCAAAAUGACAGCACAUCAGUGAAAACAACAAGGAUUCUACAUCCAGUUAUUACGAAGCAUUAGCAAAGCACUGAAAUGCGACAAACAGCAGCUAUGGGGAAAAGCAGGUACGCCAGAUUAUUCACAACCGAGAGAGCUCAAAUUCCGUAAAACAGAGUAAAACACUUUUUCUAAGCCACGAACCAAGAUUUUUUCGAGCACGAUCUCCCUUGAUAUCAUAUAUAUAAGAAUGCAGGCUUCAGAACCAUCUAAUCUCACAAGCCAAAACUAUAAGAAAUGUAAGGUGCUACUGAAAUUUCACUAAGCACUGAACCAGCAAUGCUCGCUCGGCGCCAGGGCUCCCUGGCGAUGCCGGAAGAAGAAGGAACUCCUGCGCCACAAAGCAGAACCAGCGGGUCUCUCAGAGUGGUAGGACGCGUCGCAUUACCAUUCCUGGAGCGCGGGGUCGCGGGGGCGGCGGCGGGCACGGCCUCGGCGGGGGCGGUCCCGAAGCAGCAGGCGAGCUCGGCCCGCCGGGGGAGGCGGGUCCGGGAGGAGAAGGAGUGGAGCAGGCGGAUGCGCUGGCCGCCCGCGGUGGCGAAGGCGGCGGGGAAGCGGCGGCGCGCGGCGAGGAGGAGGCCCGAGCCCCCGGCGCCCGCGGAGGUGGAGGUGGAGGCGGCCAUGAGGAGCAGCGACUGGAGGGACGGCCGCGGUGGCAUGGCGAGGCGGGGUCGGGGGCUAGGGUUUCGGGGCCCGGGGCAUGGGCUGGGGGCAGCGGAGAAUGGGGGGUCGGAGGUCUUGGGGAGGAAGAAAAGAGAGGCGAUGAGAGGAGGGGAUUUUUGGAUUGGAUAGGAGGGGGAGGAGGGCGAGGGAAGGGUUUAGGGUUUUACGCGCCGGCCGCCCGGCCGCGUGUUCUCCGGCGUGUGCUUACACAUGGGUCCCACUGUCCAGGGACGUGGGGAGCUUCCCGAAUGACUCUUUUCUCCUUCUUUGUGUUGAAACAUGGUGAUAGUAGGAUAGUGAGAGUAUUUGGAUUCAUUAGCUAAAUAUAUAUACACGUGCAAUUAAUUGUCAACCUACAUGAAUACCCUACAUUUACAUACAUUAUAACUGAGCACCUUUCCAGCCCUCUCAGGCUAUUAACAUUUUCAGCCUUUGGAUCAUCAAUUUAGGACGUUUUUGACCAUCAGAUUUACUCUUAAUCCCGCCUUUUUUUUAGACAAACUCCGAAGCUUUAUUUAUGAUGUCACAAUGUUUACAUGGACGAAAGAGAGUCCGUCCGGCUGGCCCAACCAAACAUGUCGGCCAGCCGGAAGGGAUAAAGCGUGCCUCGCGAUCUUGUGAGCCUCGAUAUUCGAGCUCCUAAAUUCAUGACAAAAAUUACAAAAGUGGAAAGAUGAACUAUACUCUAUUAUUUCAUGUAUAACCGCUCCAUACUCCGUUGGGUUCUUCUCUCGGAUGUCGUCAACCACCACCUUCGAGUCCGAUGCCACUUUUAUGUCUGUAACAUUCAGAUCGUCAGCGAGGGCUAGUGCCUCCCUGACCGCCAUGCAUUCGAGUGUCGCUGGAUCGGAUAUGCCACCGAAGACCACAGCCGAUGCCCCAAAAACUGGCCAGCGCAAUCCCUCGAUCUCGCCGCAACAGCUCCAUGUUUCCUUCCCCUCCCAACUGCAGCAUCAACGUUUAUUUUCGUCAGCCCCGCCGGUGGAGCGAUCCAGCCCGUUGGUCGCUGCACAGGAGCGCCAGGUUGCCUCGCCGUGCCCGGAUGAACAGCCUUGAGCUCAUUGAUAUAAGACUGGACAAAAGCAUGGACUGAAAAAGGACUCUGGUAAAUGUGUUCAUGGAUCGCCUUACGUCGAGCAGCCCACAAUGCCCAAAGUGUAACCACCAGGGUAGUAAACUCUUCAUGCGGUAGAGCAUUGUGCAUGGCAAAAAGCCAGCUCUUUGCAUCAGUUUCUUCGUUCCUGCUCACCACAUCGAUGAUCUGCUCAGAAGACAUGGCCCAAGUGCUUCGGGAUAUUGUGCAAUUAAGAAAAGCAUGCCUCCAAGUAUCUUCAGCUCCGCAAAGGCAGCACGCAGGUGUAUCCGCCAUGUUACGAUGAUGCAGAAGUGCCACGGUCGGGGUGGUGUUCUUUGCAAAUCUCCAUAGGAAAAUCUUCAGCUUCGAGGGUACUCUAAUCCCCCAAAGCUUAGUCCAGCCCUCACUAUCUCCAUGUGAAUGAGAUGGCCCUCCUUGCUCAUACAGCCAGGCUUCUCUGCUUAGUUUCUUCUGUUGAAUCAGACGGUACGCAGUUCUUACAGUGAAGAUACCCCUCCUGUCCUCACUCCAAGCCCAAAAGUCCUCAAUUUGUCUAGUGCAAAGAGGAAUUUGUAAGAUUGUCUCUGCAUCGAUUGGAAUAAAGGUUGCCCGAACCAGCGGUUCAUUCCAAGAGCAUGUGGUGUGGUUAAUAAGUUCUGAGACUAGGUGAGGUGGAUCAUGGGCCAGAGAUGUUAUCGGUCUCUUCAUCACCGUGCGGGGUAGCCAUUUAUCAUGCCAUAUAUCCAUGGUUUCCUCGUUUCCUAUCCUCCUCACUAGUCCUUGCACCAUUAUGUCACGGCCAUCCAAGAUAGCUCGCCAAAUUUGUGAUGGAUGACUGCCCAGCCGAGCUACAAUAGAGAGUCUUCCGGGAAAUAGACACCCUUGAGGAUGCGGGCACUAAGCGACGUGGGGUUCUGAAGCAACUUCCACGCCCGUUUCGACAGUAGGGCAAGGUUAAAGAUAUCCAAGUCCCUAAAACCGAGCCCGUCAAGGUGUUUUGGCUUUGUCAUCUCGUCCCAGGCUACCCAACUUGGCUUGCGCUUCCUCGCCAAAAUUGUCUGAUCAGGGAGGUGAUGUUCUCGCAUAAUCCCCUUGGGAGGCGGAAACAUGACAUAGAAACCGGUAUAGAUCGCGCCACCGCCUUAAUGAGCACUUCCUUUCCUGCUGCAGACAAAAGUUUUUCCAUCCACCCUCUAAUUUUCUCCCACACCCAGUCUCUCAAAUAUCGGAAAGUGCCAUUCUUUGCAUACCCAACAUCAGUAGGCAUCCCCAAGUACCUGUCACUGAGAGAUUCAUUAUGCACGUUCAUAGUGUUCUUGAUAUUGUCUCUCAUGACCUGAGGGCAACCUCUGCUAAAGAAGAUAGAAGACUUCUCAUGAUUUAUGCGCUGACCUGAUGCCAUAUAGUAGCGUUCCAACAAGUUUGAUGCUGCAACAGCCCCUUCAACACUCGAUUUAAACAUCAACAGGCUAUCGUCGACAAAAGGAGGUGGUUCACGACUGGAGCCGUGGCUGCCACCUUGAUCCCUUCUAGCUGAGACGACGAGGAACUGGAUUUCAGUAGGCAUGAAAGGCCCUCUGCUGCGAUUAAAAAGAGAUAUGGGGAUAUCAGAUCUCCCUGCCGUAUACCUCUGGAUGGGUAAAAGGUGUCGAGUCUCUCACCAUUAAAGAGCACUAAAAAAGAAACUGACCUCACCAUGUUCAUUACUAUCUGGACCCAUGAUGUAGCAAAGCCAAGCUUUAUCAUCAUUGCAUGUAGAUACUCCCACUCUAGCCGAUCGUAUGCCUUCAUCAUAUCGAGUUUUAGGGCACAGAAGGAGUUGACCCUGGCCCGGCUGCGUUUCAUAAAGUGAAGACACUCGUAUGCACUAAUGAUAUUGUAUGUAAUAUUCCUGCCUGGCACAAAGGCUGAUUGCUCCUCUGAAAUAAUGUCUGGAAGAAUUUGCUUCAGUCUGUUCGCAAACACCUUGGACGCAAUCUUAUAUAACACGUUACAUAAACUGAUUGGUCGGAAUUGAGUGAGCAUGGAAGGGUUCAUUACCUUAGGGAUAAGGACCAGGACCGUGUCAUUUAUGCUUUCGGGGCUAUCCUCUCCCCAAAUUAUCCUGAGGACCGCCUCUGUAACCUCGGCACCGCAAAGAUCCCAAUGGUGCUGAUAGAAAUGAGCUAGAAAUCCGUUGGGUCCCGGUGCUUUGGUGGGAAACAUCUGAAAAAGGGUUGCUUUAACUUCUUCUCCCUUGUAUGGUGCAGUGAGUAACUCGUUCAUCUCAUCGUAACUUUGGUUGGUACACAGUUGAGGACCGCUUCCAUAUUGUUACACCCUCUGAAGUAUACAGAGUUUCAUAAAAUUCCUGUACCAAUGCUUUCAGCUCCUUCGGAUUAUCUGACAUGACACCAAGGGAAUUUUGUAGGGCCUUUAUCAUAUCCUUCUUUCUCCGUAUGCUUGCUCUCAAGUGGAAAAAUCUUGUAUUUUUAUCGCCCGACGUUAGCCACUCUAUCCUGGACCGCUGCCUCCAUAGAAUCUCCUCCCGAUGGUAAAGUUCAACUAGAUUUUCGUUUAUCUUCAGCUCAACAUGGGAAGGAGCCGUUCGACUUGGGUCAGCGCGAAGCUUCUCCAGCUAUGUUUUCAGCCUUUUAAUCUCUUUCCGAACGUUCCCGAAGGUCUCGUUGUUCCAGCGCCCCAAAUCAUGAGGUAUUGCUUGCAGUUUAGCCCGCAACUCCUCCACUCUAUUGCUGAUCCCCCCGUCUGUCCAUGCUGAAUUAAUGGUGUCGCUCCACGACUCAUGCCCUUCCCACAUUACCUCAUAUCGGAAGGGUUUGGGCUGUCGGCCGCUGGGCUGCUCUCUGUUCAAUCGCAUUAGAAUGGGACUGUGGUCAGAAGAUGCUGCUGUGAGGUGUGUCAAGUCAGCAAGAGGAAACCUUGCUCUCCAGUCCGCAUUGGCAAGUGCAGGAUCCAGCCGGACCUUAGUAUAUGAUCAUCCCCUUACUUUCUUUUCAAAAGUCCAAAAAUGGCCCGAAUAGCCUAUGUCUAGCAACAUGCAGACGUCAACCGUGUCAUGAAAGUGUUGUAUCUGUGCGUUGCUCCUUUCUCCCACCCCCUCAUGUUCAUCGGGACGCAAUACUUCGUUAAAAUCACCAAUGCAGAGCCAAGGGAGGCUACUCAAAGUAUUGAUAUUUUUCAAGGUAUCCAACAUUUUAUAUCGAAGAUGUGUUUGCGCCUCACCAUAAACUACUGUAACUCUCCAUGGAUCAUGGCCUACCUCCUCAACCGAGCAAUCAACAUGGUAAUCCGAAUAACCAAGAAUUUCCAAUUUUAUUACAUUGUUUCAAAAAAUUCCAAUACCUCCACUUCUACCACGACUGUCAAUCGCAAAACUAUUAUCAUACCCAAAGGUGCCUGCUAGCGCUUCUACCCUCGUGCCUUCUAGCUGAGUUUCGACAAUACAUAAGAGGGUAGGGGCAAAUUUGUUCGCAAACUCGUGAACCUCUCGAACUGUUGCGGCACUGCCCAUGCCCCGACAGUUCCAACAAAACGCACUCAUUGGGCCCGGCGGUGCUCCUCGAAGGAGCCCGCCAAAUUCUUCACUGCUAAGAUUACAUCCUUGGAGUCCUCACCCGUCUUCUUGGUUCUCUUCAGGUCCCUUCGCGGUGGUGGACUCACAGCCGUCAAGCCCACCGGAACAAUUGCAAGUGAGCUCGUGUUGGUCUCUGUUGUUUCAGAAAUUUGUUGAGGCAUUGCACCCUUAGCACCCAGCUCGGCUCCCGCAUUCCUCUUUAUAUUCACCUCCUCCAUGUCUGCAUCUCUAGCCAUCCUGCUUGGGUCCACUUGAACAUGGUAUGCGCCAAGAGAGUCUGUCAUGUUGCCUCGGCCUCCUUCGGAGCGACCACUCGACCGGCCACUUGAACGGCCUCCUCUGUCACCUGCACCUCUGCCUCCACGUCCAGCUUUGCCCUCACCCGGACCCUGGCCAGGACCACAGAACCAAGAGGCACGCGAUUGUUUGAAAACCAGGGCUUUGGGGGCAUGGACACCAUCCCCACAUUCUUUGUGUAUGUGACCUAGGUGACCGCAGACCGCGCACCAGUCCGGUAAUCUCUCGUAUUUGACUCGGAAGAUCUCCAGUUUCUUCUUCUUGACGAUCGAGACUGCAUUCUUCAGAGGCUCGGUAACAUUUAUCUUUACUCCGACUCGCACGAAAUUCCCCUUGAAGUCUUGAGACCUCGGUUCAUGGUAGAUGUAUUCACCAAUGGUUGCCGCAAGUGAUUUGAUCAGGGGAAAUAGCCAUAAAGAAAAUCAUGAAUUUGGGCCCAGAUUUCCAUCUUAUCCAACGCGACCGUCGACGACCUAGUGAAUCCAUCAUAGGGCUCGAUCACCACUGCUUUUCCUUUGUAUUGCCAGGGUCCCUCCUCCAUGACUCUCUCCCAGUCACCGAGGCACAUGAACUGCAUGGUAUAUAGAUUAUCUUACAGCGGGCGGGUCUUAACUUCUCGAGCAAGAUCCCACGCGGCCCUCAUAUUGCGGUAGAACCAGUACUAACUGUAAGUUUUAUCCAUGUGUACCGGAGCAAUCGCCAUCCAUCUGACAAAUUCUUCCGGCAGAUCGUCAUCCUCAACAAUCACAUCUUGAAUAUUCUCUUCAUUCAAUCCGAGCUCUUCCAUCAUGGUCUCCAGAUCGGGCACACCCGACCCUGAAGCCAUAGACGCCAUUGGAUCUCUUGCCCGUGAGAAAAUUAUCGCGGGCGGGGUGUUCCCAACCGCUUGCACCGCCCCCGUACUGCCGGGGCACCAGGCUCCGAUCAGCGACGGCAGGUACCACUGCGUGGUCAGGGGCCCCCGCCAUAGCGAACCAGAGGAGCACAGGAGCAGAGGCCGCGGCUGGACGCCUCCCCCAUCCUUCAUGGUCGCACCUCUUUUCAUCCUCCGCAAUUCGGAUCUGGACCUCGAUGGGAAAACGCAUACUGUUGCCCUGCCCGUCUUCCCUGUGUGCGUCGUCUUACCAUCCCUGCCCGUCUUCCCAGUAUUAAUUUGAGGCGAUGCCACCCCCCCCUUUGCCUAGCUUCACCCCCCCUUUGCCUAGCUUCUGAGACCUGAUGGGCUAUAUUUUAAAAUUGUAGAGUGGUCAACGUUGUGGAUAAAUUAGGAUCACUCAUUCAAGUCAAUCUGCCGGUGAGCACCAAAAUUCAACUUCUGCUCCUUUAUUCAGUUUUCCAUUCACACUACAUGCAGCCAUUAGUUUACACACGAAAUCUAUAGCCCAUUCACAUGCGUCUAUGUUUGCACAUUGUAACUCACAGGAACACAAUUUUCUUUUUUGCAAGCUGGACUAUUGAUUUCUUAUAAUGUUUUGCUGAUUUUUCUUCUUCCUUAUUACAGCACACUUAUUUCUGCAAUGACAUGUUACAGUUUGGAUGUGGCACCUGCAAGGUUUCGCUUUUGGGAAAUUUUAUCAAGUAGGGAUUUGCUAGCUGGAAUAUUAUGGCAAUUCAUUCUGCAAUCUUUUUUUUCCAGAACUUUCAGCAGAGUCGAAUAGUUGGAGCAUUUGACAACAGGUUAAAUCUUUCUGUUGGUAGCAUGAUUACAUUCUACAAACUGUGCCUCAUCUGAAGAGAGACAACGCUUUUGUUGGUAGUUCAUCUAACAAUUCCAAUGUUGCAGCAGUAUCAAACAGAAAAGGAGGUAAGAGACAAUCUUCGUACAGAGCAUUCCAAUGUUGCGAACUACUCCCUCCGUUCUAAAAUAGAUGACUCAACUUUGUACUGACUUUAGUACAAAGUUAGUAUAAAGUUGGAUCAUCUAUUUUGGAACGGAGGGAGUAUAUUUCUAUAAAAUAAUAAUGUUCUGAUUAUGAUGUUCCUUCUCGCAGGAACAUCUUGAAUUUGUAGGUGAUACACACCACAUGGUGUUUGUUUUUCAUCAAUCUUUUGUUUGUAAUAUCAAGUAAAAAAAGGAGUUAUGUCAGACUAUUUUUGUCGUGUUACAUACUAUUAGGCGAUUGUAAUGUUUAAUUAAAGUUUGGAAUAUAAUCCUAACUUCCGGAGUGUGGAAUACUGCAGGUUCUGUACUACUUGACUUCCAUGGUCCAUUUGCGAUUCAUUUAUGCAUUCAUUGGUCGGAACAAGUAUCCAAACAUGUAUUCUGAAGCUUAAGACAUGGUAUCCCAUUCAGUGUUAAGGACUCGGGGACAAAUGUCGGUGCAUAUCUGUUUUGACAUAUUGGUUACAUGUGCUUCAUGUAACAUGCAUUUCCUGAAGGUGAUAUUGAUUGCCAUCUAUGUGCUUUCAGUUGUUUGUUUGCUGUUUUUCGCCAAUUUCAGGGGGUUUAUGAGCUACAAGACUUUUUUUAAAGGGAUGAGCUACAAUACUAUAAACUCAAUCUGUCUUUAUAUAUUACCUCACAGCAGAAAAUUACUUUAACUAUCAGCUGUGAAAAUGAGGUUUAGACCAAUAUCCCCGGUAGAUCCUUGCCCUCAAGUUGCCUAUGAUGCAGUGUAACUACCAUUAGGAAUCACUCCAGGAGGGAUAAGAUGGGUUAUUUCGUGGAAACUGCUAAUUUGAUUAGAAAAAAUAGUCGCAAUAUCUUUGUAUAGUUAGGCUUCCCUUGAAAGCAUAUACACCUGCACGUGUAACAUUUCCAUUUUAAAUACUGUCGUUAGUUUUUAUGUGUGUUUCCUAUUGCUUUUUUCCAGUUAGGAAACUAUCACAUGGUAAAUCUUGCAUUGUCCGUCUCUCACUAUUAGGAAAAGGCCUACUAAUGACGCACUGGUUUUGCCUACUAAUGGCGCAUUACCAGUGCGCCAUUAGUAGCACGCCACUAGUAUAUCUUACUAAUGGCGCACCACAGGUGCGCCAUUAGUAUCUGGUAUACUAAUGGCGCACCAACUAGUGCGCCAUUAGUAUGUAACAGCAUGCGUCAUUAGUGUGCCCUCCGGGGGGCCAUACGUAAGCAUGACUUUGUCAUACUAAUGGCGCAUUCUCUGUUGAUGCGCCAUUAGUAUCCUUUGGCAUACUAAUGACGCACCUGGUGGUGAUGCGCCAUUAGUAUGAAUAUUUGGUUUUUUUUUCUGAUUUUUGCGCAGGUUACAAAAUAUAUUAUUAGACAGAAUAUAAAAUAUAUUAUUAGACAGAAUAUAGACAGCAGCACACAGCAACAUCAGAUUCAUCAAAUACAAUAGAAGAUUAGUUUCCGAAUACAAUUCAUCAUAUUAGUCUCCGAAUUCAAAAGACCGAACAAAGAUAAAACAUUACAAGUCUCAAGACCGCGAGUAUCGAGUUUGUCGGAAGUAAUACUAAUCCUAACAAGUCCCUAAUCAUCAUCAUACAACUUCUACUCGUUAUUCAUAACAAGUCAUACGAUCAUCAUCUUGAUAGUCUUUGAACCAACCCUACUUAAUUGUUCAUCAGCACAUGAUCAUCAGUAUUAGGAAGGACCUAAAUACCCUAUUUAAGCUAAAAUAGCAUAAAACAAUAUAGACUCUGACUCUCCAUUAUGGAGAAUGGAGAACAUCUUGUCUGCAAUUCUUGCGCUUCGCUUCCUUUUGCUUCCAAGAAACUCCUUACGACUGUCCAUACCUUUUUUCCAUCCUUUGAUUUUCAUGUCUCCACUUCUUUUAGAAAUCUCGUAUGGACAGUUGAGAUUCGUAGGAUGACCUGGCUGUAUGUUCAAAACAUUAAGACUACCUUUCUGAUACAUCAAAUGAGGCAUACAAUUCUCUGGAAUUAUCUGUUGAAAAACAUAGUAAUAACUUCAUAGUUAGCAAUGAUAUACUAGUUUUAGAAGUAUGCAAAAGAUGCAUGGAUGUCGUAAUAGUAAAAAUCUUACCAGGGUAUCUUCAUAGUAGUUACCGUAGUUGAACACAUGCACUAGUGGCACGUAUUUACCAUAAUGUUGAGGAGUUUGUUUGUGGAUAUUGUAAUUCUCAAUGUCAGUACAAAAUCCGACCAAAUGAUUUUUCUCCUUGUAAGUUGUUAAUUCGGAGCCAUCGGUGUAGUGGGUUUUGUCUACCAUCUCCCGCACAUUCUUUGAACAAUAAAAAUAAGCUGUCAAUGGAAAUAAGCUGUCAACUAUUUUGAAAUAAAAAAUAUAAAUUAGCUAAUAACUAUGUUUGAGAAACUCACAUAGCGGUAGAACUGGAGGCGUAUCAACAAGGACCCAAAUGUCCAUAUUGUCUUGGUUGAUGUCAGGAUUAUCAAGAUCCAUGGUGAUAAGCAUACCCUCAUCAAAACCAUACAUCUUGCAAAAUGCUUCCCAAUUUUUGCAACCAAAAUGGGUUACGCUCUCAGAAUUAUAUAGAUUUACUUCAAAGUCCACAUCGUGAUGAGUCCUUAGGUGAAUUUUCUUUGUUUCAGAAAUUUCAUGGUCUUCAAAAUCCAUCCUCUCCAAGACAUAGCGUCUUGCAUGGCAUGAGAUAAGCUAUACUCGAAUUGUAAAAGAUGAAAAUUACACGUUGAAAUAGUUGAAGUCAUGCUUAAUUAUGAAAAUAACACUUGUCGUCGUUGUGUACCGUUUCAACUUCGAAGGUCUCCUCGAAAUUAAUGCUAAAGUGCCGAUCAUCGUCCAGGUGAGGCAUGUCGCACAGACCUCGAUUGUCGUGGCACCAGUCGCACUUCGCCGGGAGACUUUCGUCGUCCGAUGAUGAUGACGACAUAUCCUGGGACAGCUCCCAGAAUUGCUUGCCGCCCAAACCACCGGCCUCAUCGUUGUGGGCCAUGUUUCGCUCUAAAUAGGAAAAAAGUUUGGUCAAAAAGUUGGUUAUUGUCAAGGAACAAGAUCAUGGUCUCAUCAUUUAGGGUUUGUCGACACCGAGGCACCCUAAAAGCCUAAGCUUUCAUCAUUUAGGGUUUGUCGACGCCGAGGCACCCUAAAAGCCUAAGCGUACAUCAUUUAGGUUCUCAUCGACACCGAGGCUGGAAGCCAUGAAAUCCGACAAAUGGCUGGAAGCCAUGAAAUCCGAGAUAGGAUCCAUGUAUGAAAACGAAGUAUGGACUUUGACUGACUUGCCCGAUGAUCGGCGAGCCAUAGAAAAUAAAUGGAUCUUUAAGAAGAAGACAGACGCGGAUGGUAAUGUGACCAUCUAUAAAGCUAGGCUUGUCGCUAAGGGUUAUCGACAAGUUCAAGGGGUUGACUACGAUGAGACUUUCUCUCCCGUAGCAAAGCUGAAGUCCGUCCGAAUCAUGUUAGCAAUUGCCGCAUACUAUGAUUAUGAGAUAUGGCAAAUGGACGUCAAAACGGCAUUCCUUAACGGUUAUUUUAAGGAAGAAAUGUAUAUGAUGCAGCCGGAAGGUUUUGUCGACCCUAAGAAUGCUAACAAGGUAUGCAAGCUCCAGCGAUUCAUUUAUGGGCUGGUGCAAGCAUCUCGGAGUUGGAACAUUCGCUUUGAUGAGAUGAUCAAAGCGUUUGGGUUUAUGCAGACUUAUGGAGAAGCCUGCGUUUACAAGAAAGUGAGUGGGAGCUCUGUAGCAUUUCUCAUAUUAUAUGUAGAUGACAUACUUUUGAUGGGAAAUGAUAUAGAACUUUUGGACAGCAUUAAGGCCUACUUGAAUAAGAGUUUUUCAAUGAAGGACCUUGGAGAAGCUGCAUAUAUAUUAGGCAUCAAGAUCUAUAGAGAUAGAUCAAGACGCCUCAUAGGUCUUUCACAAAGCACAUACCUUGAUAAGAUAUUGAAGAAGUUCAAUAUGGAUUAGUCUAAGAAGGGGUUCUUGCCUGUGUCGCAAGGUGUGAAAUUGAGCUCAGCUCAAUGUCCGACCACAGCAGAAGAUAUAGAAGAGAUGAGUGUCAUCCCCUAUGCCUCAGUCAUAGGGUCUAUUAUGUAUGCCAUGCUAUGUACCAGACCUGAUGUAAACCUUGCCGUAAGUUUGGUAGGAAGGUACCAAAGUAAUCCUGGCAAGGAACACUGGACAGCGGUCAAGAAUAUCCUGAAGUACCUGAAAAGGACUAAGGACAUGUUUCUCGUUUAUGGAGGUGACGAAGAGCUCGUCGUAAAGGGUUACGUUGACGCUAGCUUCGACACAGAUCUGGAUGACUCUAAGUCAAAAACCGGAUGCGUGUAUAUGUUGAAUGGUGGAGCAGUAAGCUGGUGCAGCUGCAAGCAGAGCAUCGUGGCGGGAUCUACAUGUGAAGCGGAGUACAUGGCAGCCUCGGAGGCAGCGCAUGAAGCAAUUUGGGUGAAGGAGUUCAUGUUGGGUAACGUGGUAAUUUCAAAAAAUUUCCUACGCACACGCAAGUUCAUGUGAUGCAUAGCAACGAGGGGAGAGUGUGAUCUACGUACCCUUGGUAGAUCGACAACGGAAGCGUUUGGUUGAUGUAGUCGUACGUCUUCACGGCCCGACCGAUCAAGCACUGAAACUACGGCACCUCCGAGUUUUAGCACACGUUUAGCUCGAUGACGAUCCCCGGACUCCGAUCCAGCAAAGUGUCGGGGAAGAGUUCCGUCAGCAUGACGGCGUGGUGACGAUCUUGAUGUACUACUGUCGCAGGGCUUCGCCUAAGCACCACUACAAUAUUAUCGAGGACUAUGGUGGCUGGGGGCGCCGCACACGGCUAAGGAACAGAUCACGUGGAUCAACUUGUGUGUUCUAGGGUGCCCCCUGCCUCCGUAUAUAAAGGAUCCAAGGGGGGGGGGGUGCGGCCGGCCUAGAGGAGGCGCGCAGGAGGAGUCCUACUCCUACCGGGAGUAGGACUCCCCUCCCGUUCCUUGUCCAACUAGGAGAGGUGGAGGGAGAGAAGGAAAGGGGGGGGGGGGCACCGCCCCUUCCUCCUUGUCCAAUUCGGACUAGGGGGAGAGGGGGCGCGCGGCCUGCCCUGGCAGCCCCUUCCUCUUCUCCACAUUAGGCCCAUAAGGCCCAUUAACCCCCCGGGGGGUUCCGGUAACCCCCCGGUGCUCCGGUUUUAUCCGAAACUUCCCCGGAACCCUUCCGGUGUCCGAAUAUAGUCGUCCAAUAUAUCAAUCUUUAUGUCUCGACCAUUUCGAGACUCUUAGUCAUGUUCGUGAUCACAUCCGGGACUCUGAACUAACUUCGGUACAUCAAAAUGCAUAAACUCAUAAUAACUGUCAUCGUAACGUUAAGCGUGCGGACCCUACGGUUCGAGAACAAUGUAGACAUGACUGAGACAAAUCUCCAGUCAAUAACCAAUAGCGGGACCUGGAUGCCCAUAUUGGCUCCUACAUAUUCUACGAAGAUCUUUAUCGGUCAGACCGCAUAACAACAUACGUCGUUCCCUUUGUUAUCGGUAUGUUACUUGCCCGAGAUUCGAUCGUCGGUAUCCAAUACCUAGUUCAAUCUCGUUACCGGCAAGUCUCUUUACUCGUUCCGUAAUACAUCACCUCACAACUAACUCAUUAGUUGCAAUGCUUGCAAGGCUUAUGUGAUGUGCAUUACCGAGAGGGCCCAGAGAUACCUCUCCGACAAUCGGAGUGACAAAUCCUAAUCUCGAAAUACGCCAACCCAACAUGUACCUUUGGAGACACCUGUAGAGCUCCUUUAUAAUCACCCAGUUACGUUGUGACGUUUGGUAGCACACAAAGUGUUCCUCUGGCAAACGGGAGUUGCAUAAUCUCAUAGUCAUAGGAACAUGUAUAAGUCAUGAAGAAAGCAAUAGCAACAUACUAAACGAUCGGGUGCUAAGCUAAUGGAAUGGGUCAUGUCAAUCAGAUCAUUCACCUAAUGAUGUGAUCCCGUUAAUCAAAUAACAACUCUUUGUCCAUGGUUAGGAAACAUAACCAUCUUUGAUUAACGAGCUAGUCAAGUAGAGGCAUACUAGUGACACUCUGUUUGUCUAUGUAUUCACACAUGUAUUAUGUUUCUGGUUAAUACAAUUCUAGCAUGAAUAAUAAACAUUUAUCAUGAUAUAAGGAAAUAAAUAAUAACUUUAUUAUUGCCUCUAGGGCAUAUUUCCUUCAGUCUCCCACUUGCACUAGAGUCAAUAAUCUAGAUCACAUCACCAUGUGAUUAACAUCGAUAGUUCACAUCAUCAUGUGAUUAACACCCAUAGUUCACAUCGCCAUGUGACCAACACCCAAAGGGUUUACUAGAUUCAGUAAUCUAGUUCACAUCGCUAUGUGAUUAACACCCAAAGAGUACUAAGGUGUGAUCAUGUUUUGCUUGUGAGAGAAUCUUAGUCAACGGGUCUGCCACAUUUAGAUCCGCAUGUAUUUUGCAAAUUUCUAUGUCAACAAUGCUCUGCAUGGAGCUACUCUAGCUAAUUGCUCCCACUUUCAAUAUGUAUCUAGAACGAGACUUAGAGUCAUCUAGAUUAGUGUCAAAACUUGCAUCGGCGUAACCCUUUACGACGAACCUUUUUUCACUUCCAUAAUCGAGAAACAUAUCCUUAUUCCAAUAAGGAUAAUUUUGACCGCUGUCCAGUGAUCUACUCCUAGAUCACUAUCGUACUCCCUUGCCAAACUCAGUGGUAGGGCACACAAUAGAUCUGGUAUACAGCAUGGCAUACUUUGUAGAACCUAUGGCUGAGGCAUAGGGAAUGACUUUCAUUCUAUUUCUAUCUUCUGUCAUGGUCAGGCUUUGAGUCUUACUCAAUUUCACACCUUGCAACACAGGCAAGAACUCUUUCUUUGACUGUUCCAUUUUGAAUUACUUCAAAAUCUUGUCAAGGUAUGUAUUUAUUGAAAAAACUUAUCAAGCGUCUUAAUCUAUCUCUAUAGAUCUUUAUGCUCAAUAUGUAAGCAACUUCACCGAGGUCUUUCUUUGAAAAUUCCUUUCAAACACUCCUUUAUGCUUUGCAAAAAUAAUUCUACAUUAUUUCCGAUCAACAAUAUGUCAUUCACAUAUACUUAUCAGAAAUGCUGUAGUGCUCCCACUCACUUUCUUGUAAAUACAGGCUUCACCGCAAGUCUGUAUAAAACUAUAUGCUUUGAUCAACUUAUCAAGGCGUUUAUUCCAACUCCGAGAGGCUUGCACCAGUCCAUAAAUGGAUCGCUGGAGCUUGCACACUUUGUUAGCUCCCUUUGGAUCGACAAAACCUUCUAGUUGCAUCAUAUACAACUCUUCUUCCAGAAAUCCAUUUAGGAAUGCAGUUUUGACAUCCAUCUGCCAAAUUUCAUAAUCAUAAAAUGCGGCAAUUGCUAACAUGAUUCGGACAGACUUAAGCAUCGCUACGGGUGAGAAGGUCUCAUCGUAGUCAAUCCCUUGAACUUGCCGAAAACCUUUUGCGACAAGUCGAGCUUUGUAGACAGUAAUAUUACUGUCAGCGUCAGUCUUCUUCUUGAAGAUCCAUUUAUUCUCAAUUGCUUGCCGAUCAUCGGGCAAGUCAACCAAAGUCCAUACUUUGUUCUCAUACAUGGAUCCCAUCUCGGAUUUCAUGGCUUCAAGCCACUUUGCGGAAUCUGGGCUCAUCAUCGCUUCCUCAUAGUUCAUAGGUUCGUUAUGGUCUAGUAACAUAACUUCCAGAACAAGAUUACCGUACCACUCUGGUGUGGAUCUCACUCUGGUUUACCUACGAGAUUCGGUAGUAACUUGAUCUGAAGUUACAUGAUCAUCAUCAUUAGCUUCCUCACUAAUUGGUGUAGUAGUCACAGGAACAGAUUUCUGUGAUGAACUACUUUCCAAUAAGGGAGAAGGUACAAUUACCUUAUCAAGUUCUACUUUCCUCCCACUCAUUUCUUUCGAGAGAAACUCCUUCUCCAGAAAAACUCUGAAUUUAGCAACAAAAGUCUUGCCUUCGGAUUUGUGAUAGAAGGUGUACCCAACAGUCUCCUUUGGGUAUCCUAUGAAGACAUUUUUCUCCGAUUUGGGUUUGAGCUUAUUAGGAUGAAACUUUUUCAUAUAAGCAUCACAACCCCAAACUUUAAGAAACGACAACUUUGGUUUCUUGCCAAACCACAGUUCAGAUUGUGUCGUCUCAACGGACUUAGAUGGUGCCCUAUUUAACGUGAAUGCAGCUGUCUCUAAUGCAUAACCCAAAACGAUAGUGGUAGAUCGGUAAGAGACAUCAUAGAUCGCACUAUAUCUAAUAAAGUACGGUUAUGACGUUCGGACACACCAUUACACUAUGGUGUUCCAGGUGGCGUGAGUAGUGAAACUAUUUCACAUUGUUUUAAUUGAAGGCCAAACUCGUAACUCAAAUAUUUUACCUCUGCGAUCAUAUCAUAGAAACUCUUAUUUUCUUGUCACGAUGAUUUUCCACUUCACUCUGAAAUUCUUUGAACUGUUCAAAUGUUUUAGACUUAUGUUUCAUCAAGUAGAUAUCCCCAUAUCUGCUCAAAUCAUUUGUGAAGGUCAGAAAAUAAUGAUACCUGCUGCAAGCCUUAAUAUUCAUCGGACCACAUACAUUAGUAUGUAUGAUUUCCAACAAAUCUGUUGCUUGCUUCAUUGUUCCGGAGAACGGCGUUUUAGUCAUCUUGCCCAUAAGGCAUGGUUCGCAAGCAUCAAGUGAUUCAUAAUCAAGUGAUUCCAAAAUCCCAUCAGCAUGGAGUUUCUUCAUGCGCUUUACACCAAUAUGACCUAAACGGCAGUGCCACAAAUAAGUUGCACUAUCAUUAUUAACUUUGCAUCUUUUGGUUUCAAUAUUAUGAAUAUGUGUAUCACUACGAUCGAGAUCCAAUGAACUUGUUUCCUUGGGUGUAUGACCAUCGAAGGUUUUAUUCAUGUAAACAGAACAAUAAUUUAUUCUCUUACUUAAAUGAAUAACCGUACUACAAUAAACAUGAUCAAAUCAUAUUCAUGCUUAACGCAAACACCAAAUAACACUUAUUCAGGUUCAACACUAAUCCCGAAAGUAUAGGGAGUGUGCGAUGAUGAUCAUAUCAAUCUUGGAACCACUUCCAACACACAUCGUCACUUCACCCUUAACUAGUCUCUGUUUAUUCUGCAACUCCCGUUUCGAGUUACUAAUCUUAGCAACUGAUCCAGUAUCAAAUACUGAGGGGGUCUAUAAACACUAGUAAAGUACACAUCAAUAACAUGUAUAUCAAAUAUACUUUUGUUCACUUUGCCAUCCUUCUUAUCCGCCAAAUACUUGGGGCAGUUCCGCUUCCAGUGACCAGUCCCUUUGCAGUAGAAGCACUUAGUCCCUUUGCCCUUUUCUUGAAACUAGUGAUCUUGUCAACCAUCAACACUUGAUGCUCUUUUUUGAUUUCCACCUUCAUCGAUUUCAUCAUCAUGAAAAGCUCGGGAUUCGUUUAAGUCAUCCCUUGCAUACUAUAGUUCAUCACGAAGUUCUACUAACUUGGUGAUGGUGACUAGAGAAUUCUGUCAAUCACUAUCUUAUCUCGAAGAUUAACUCCCACUUGAUUCAAGAGAUUGUAGUACCCAGACAAUCUGAGCACAUGCUCACUAGUUGAGCGAUUCUCCUCCAUCUUUUAGCUAUAGAACUUGUUGGAGACUUCAUAUCUCUCAACUCGGGUAUUUGCUUGAAAUAUUAACUUCAACUCCUGGAACAUCUCAUAUGGUCCGUGACGUUCAAAACGUCUUUGAAUUCCCGAUUCUAAGCCAUUAAGCAUGGUGCACUAAACUAUCAAGUAGUCAUAAUAUUGAGCUAGCCAAACGUUCAUAAUGUCCGCAUCUGCUCCUGCAAUAGGUCUGUCACCUAGCGGUGCAUCAAGGACAUAAUUCUUCUGUGCAGCAAUGAGGAUAAACCUCAGAUCACGGAUCCAAUCCGCAUCUUUGCUACUAACAUCUUUCAACACAAUUUUCUCUAGGAACAUAUCAAAAUAAACACAGUGAAGCAACAACGCGAGCUAUUGAUCUACAACAUGAUUUGCAAAAUACUACCAGGACUAAGUUCAUGAUAAAUUUAAGUUCAUGUUAAUCAUAUUACUUAAGAACUCCCACUUAGAUAGACAUCCCUCUAAUCCUCUAAGUGAUCACGUGAUCCAAAUCAACUAAACCAUGUCCGAUCAUCACGUGAGAUGGAGUAGUUUCAUUGGUGAACAUCACUAUGUUGAUCAUAUCUACUAUAUGAUUCACGCUCGACCUUUCGGUCUCCGUGUUCCGAGGCCAUAUUUGUAUAUGCUUGGCUCGUCAAGUAUAACCUGAGUAUUCCGCAUGUGCAACUGUUUUGCACCCAUUGUAUUUGAACGUAGAGCCUAUCACACCCAAUCAUCACGUGGUGUCUCAACACGAAGAACUUUCGCAACGGUGCAUACUCAGGGAGAACACUUCUUGAUAAUUAGUGAGAGAUCAUCUUAUAAUGCUACCGUCAAUCAAAGCAAGAUAAGAUGCAUAAAAGAUAAACAUCACAUGCAAUCAAUAUAAGUGAUAUGAUAUGGCCAUCAUCAUCUUGUGCUUGUGAUCUCUAUCUCCGAAGCACCAUUGUGAUCACCAUCGUCACCGGCGCGACACCUUGAUCUCCAUCGUAGCAUCGUUGUCGUCUCGCCGAGCUUGUGCUUCCACGACUAUCGCUACCGUUUAGUGAUAAAGUAAAGCAUUACAGCGCGAUUGCAUUGCAUACAAUAAAGCGACAACCAUAUGGCUCCUGCCAGUUGCCGAUAACUCGGUUACAAAACAUGAUCAUCUCAUACAAUAAAAUUUAGCAUCAUGUCUUGACCAUAUCACAUCACAACAUGCCCUGCAAAAACAAGUUAGACGUCCUCUACUUUGUUGUUGCAAGUUUUUACGUGGCUGCUACGGGCUUAAGCAAGAAUCAAUCUCACCUACGCAUCAAAACCACAACGAUAGUUUGUCAAUUUGACUCCGUUUUAACCUUCGCAAGGACCGGGCGUAGCCACACUUGGUUCAACUAAAGUUGGCGAGACAGUCGCCCGCAAGCCACCUAUGUGCAAACCACGUCGGGAGAACCGGUCUCGCGUAAGCGUACGCGUAAUGUUGGUCCAGGUCGUCUCGUCCAACAAUACCGCCGAACCAAAGUAUGACAUGCUGGUAGGCAGUAUGACUUAUAUCGCCCACAACUCACUUGUGUUCUACUCGUGCAUAUAACAUCAAACCAUAAAACCUAGGCUCUGAUACCACUAUUGGGUAACGUGGUAAUUUCAAAAAAAUUCCUACGCACAGGCAAGAUUAUGUGAUGCAUAGCAACGAGGGGAGAGUGUGAUCUAUGUACCCUUGGUAGAUCGAUAACGGAAGCGUUUGGUUGAUGUAGUCGUACGUCUUCACGGCCCGACCGAUCAAGCACCGAAACUACGGCACCUCCGAGUUUUAGCACACGUUCAGCUCGAUGACGAUCCCCGGACUCCGAUCCAGCAAAGUGUCGGGGAAGAGUUCCGUCAGCACGACGGCGUGGUGACGAUCUUGAUGUACUACUGUCGCAGGGCUUCGCCUAAGCACCACUAUAAUAUUAUCGAGGACUAUGGUGGCUGGGGGCGCCGCACACGGCUAAGGAAUAGAUCACGUGGAUCAACUUGUGUGUUCUAGGGUGCCCCCUGCCUCCGUAUAUAAAGGAUCCAAGGGGGGGGGGUGCGGCCGGCCUAGAGGAGGCGCGCAGGAGGAGUCCUACUCCUACCGGGAGUAGNNNNNNNNNNNNNNNNNNNNNNNNNNNNNNNNNNNNNNNNNNNNNNNNNNNNNNNNNNNNNNNNNNNNNNNNNNNNNNNNNNNNNNNNNNNNNNNNNNNNNNNNNNNNNNNNNNNNNNNNNNNNNNNNNNNNNNNNNNNNNNNNNNNNNNNNNNNNNNNNNNNNNNNNNNNNNNNNNNNNNNNNNNNNNNNNNNNNNNNNNNNNNNNNNNNNNNNNNNNNNNNNNNNNNNNNNNNNNNNNNNNNNNGGGAGUAGGACUCCCCUCCCGUUCCUUGUCCAACUAGGAAAGGUGGAGGGAGAGAAGGAAAGGGGGGGGGGGGCGCCGCCCCUCCCUCCUUGUCCAAUUCGGACUAGGGGGAGAAGGGGCAUGCGGCCUACCCUGGCAGCCCCUUCCUCUUCUCCACAUUAGGCCCAUAAGGCCCAUUAACCCCCCGGGGGGUUCCGGUAACCCCCCGGUGCUCCGGUUUUAUCCGAAACUUCCCCGGAACCCUUCUGGUGUCCGAAUAUAGUCGUCCAAUAUAUCAAUCUUUAUGUCUCGACCAUUUAGAGACUCCUCGUCAUGUCCGUGAUCACAUCCGGGACUCCGAACUAACUUCGGUACAUCAAAAUGCAUAAACUCAUAAUAAUUGUCAUCGUAACGUUAAGCGUGCGGACCCUACGGUUCGAGAACAAUGUAGACAUGACUGAGACAAAUCUCCGGUCAAUAACCAAUAGCGGGACCUGGAUGCCCAUAUUGGCUCCUACAUAUUCUAUGAAGAUCUUUAUCGGUUAGACCGCAUAACAACAUACGUUGUUCCCUUUGUCAUCGGUAUGUUACUUGCCCGAGAUUCGAUCGUCGGUAUCCAAUACCUAGUUCAAUCUCGUUACCAGCAAGUCUCUUUACUCGUUCCGUAAUACAUCAUCUCACAACUAACUCAUUAGUUGCAAUGCUUGCAAGGCUUAUGUGAUGUGCAUUACCAAGAGGGCCCAGAGAUACCUCUCCGACAAUCGGAGUGACAAAUCCUAAUCUCGAAAUACGCCAACCCAACAUGUACCUUUGGAGACACCUGUAGAGCUCCUUUAUAAUCACCCAGUUACGUUUUGACGUUUGGUAGCACACAAAGUGUUCCUCCGGCAAACGGGAGUUUCAUAAUCUCAUAGUCAUAGGAACAUGUAUAAGUCAUGAAGAAAGCAAUAGCAACAUACUAAACGAUCGGGUGCUAAGCUAAUGGAAUGGGUCAUGUCAAUCAGAUCAUUCACCUAAUGAUGUGAUCCCGUUAAUCAAAUAACAACUCUUUGUCCAUGGUUAGGAAACAUAACCAUCUUUGACUAACGAGCUAGUCAAGUAGAGGCAUACUAGUGACACUCUGUUUGUCUAUGUAUUCACACAUGUAUUAUGUUUCCGGUUAAUACAAUUCUAGCAUGAAUAAUAAACAUUUAUCAUGAUAUAAGGAAAUAAAUAAUAACUUUAUUAUUGCCUCUAGGGCAUAUUUCCUUCAGUUCAUCACCGAUCUAGGAGUCAUACCCAAUGCGUCGGGGCCGAUCAAACUCUUCUGUGACAACACUAGAGCUAUUGCACUUGCCAAGGAGCCCAGGUUUCACAAGAAGACCAGGCACAUCAAGCGUCGCUUCAACUCCCUUCGUGAAAAUGUUCAAGAUGGAGACAUAGGUAUUUGUAAAGUACAUACGGAUCUGAAUGUCGCAGAUCCGUUGACUAAACCUCUCCCUAGGGCAAAACAUGAUCAACACCAGAACUCUAUGGGUGUUCGAUUCAUCACAAUGUAACUAGAUUAUUGACUCUAGUGCAAGUGGGAGACUGUUGGAAAUAUUCCCUAGAGGCAAUAAUAAAAGGAUUAUUAUUAUAUUUCCUUGUUCAUGAUAAUUGUAUUUUAUUCAUGCUAUAAUUGUGUUAUCCGGAAAUCGUAAUACAUGUGUGAAUACAUAGACACCAACAUGUCCCUAGUAAGCCUCUAGUUGACUAGCUCGUUGAUCAACAGAUAGUCAUGGUUUCCUGACUAUGGACAUUGGAUGUCAUUGAUAACGAGAUCACAUCAUUAGAAGAAUGAUGUGAUGGACAAGACCCAAUCCUAAACAUAGCACAAGAUCGUAUAGUUCGUUUGCUAGAGUUUUUCCAAUGUCAAGUAUCUUUUUCCUUAGACCAUGAGAUCGUGUAACUCCCGGAUACCGUAGGAGUGCUUUGGGUGUACCAAACGUCACAACGUAACUGGGUGACAAUAAAGGUAUACUACGGGUAUCUCCGAAAGUGUCUGUUGGGUUGACACGGAUCAAGACUGGGAUUUGUCACUCUGUAUGACGGAGAGGUAUCUCUGGGCCCACUCGGUAAUGCAUCAUCAUAAUGAGCUCAAUGUGAUCAAGUGGUUGAUCACGGGAUCGUGCAUUACGGUACGAGUAAAGUGACUUGCCGGUAACGAGACUGAACAAGGUAUUGGGAUACCGAUGAUUGAGUCUCGGGCAAGUAACGUACCGAUUGAUAAAGGGAAUUGUAUACGGGGUUGCUUGAAUCCUCGACGUCGUGGUUCAUCCGAUGAGAUCAUCGAGGAGCAUGUGGGAGCCAACAUGGGUAUCUAGAUACCGUUGUUGGUUAUUGAACGGAGAGCCGUCUCGGUCAUGUCUACAUGUCUCUCGAACCCGUAGGGUCUACACACUUAAGGUUCGGUGACGCUAGGGUUGUAGAGAUAUGAGUAUGCAGUAACCCGAAAGUUGUUCAGAGUCCCGGAUGAGAUCCCGGACGUCACGAGGAGCUCCAGAAUGGUCGGGAGGUGAAGAAUUAUAUAUAGGAAGUGCAGUUUCGGCCAUCGGGAGAGUUUCGGGGGUCACCGGUAUUGUACCGGGACCACCAGAAGGGUCCCGGGGGUACCGGGUGGGGCCACCCAUCCCGGAGGGCCCCAUGGGCUGAAGUGGGGAGGGAACCAGCCCAUAGUGGGCUGGUGCGCCCCCCCUUGGGCCCCCCAUGCGCCUAGGGUUGGGAACCCUAGGGGAGGGGGCGCCUCCACUUGCCUUGGGGGGCACUCCUCCCCCUUGGCCGCCGCCCCCCUAGGAGAUCCCAUCUCCUAGGGCCGGAGCACCCCCUAGGGGGCCUAUAUAAAGGGGGGAGGGAGGGCAGCCGCACCUCAAGUCUUGGCGCCUGCCUCUCCCCUGCUACACCUCUCCCUCUCGCAGAAGCUCGCGAAGCCCUGCUGCGAUCAUUGCUGCAUCCACCACCACGCCGUCGUGCUGCUGGAUCUUCAUCAACCUCUCCUUCCCCCUUGCUGGAUCAAGAAGGAGGAGACGUCAUCCGCUCCGUACGUGUGUUGAACGCGGAGGUGCCGUCCGUUCGGCACUUGGUCAUCGGUGAUUUGGAUCACGGCGAGUACGACUCCAUCAUCCCCGUUCUCUUGAACGCUUCCGCUCGCGAUCUACAAGGGUAUGUAGAUGCACUCAGAUCACUAGUUGCUAGAUGAACUCAUAGAUAGAUCUUGGUGAAACCGUAGAAUUUUUUUAUUUUCUGCAACGUUCCCCAACAGCUCGCAACAACCGCUGGCGCCCCCGGUGUCAAAUUUGCAAAAACUGGGGCAUGAGGCCGAUGAUUGCCGCAAGCGUUAUGACCAGGACCACAACUCUCGCUCCACCAACUCGGCCUCCACCAACACCGUCGACUAUCCUUGGGUGCUGGACACCGGGGCUACGGAUCACUUGACGAGUGAUCUUGAACGCCUCCAGGUUCAUGAGCGCUAUGAUGGAAAGGACCAGGUUCAGGUGGCCAAUGGUGCAGGUUUGUCUAUUUCACACAUUGGUCAUUCCCGUUUACCCGGUUCAUCUCUCAAACUGCGCAACAUCCUUCAUGUUCCACACAUCAGAGAGCAUCUUCUUUCUGUCUAUCGCCUUGUUUGUGAUAAUGACGUGUUUGUUGAAUUUCACUGUCGUUUUUUCUUUGUUAAGGACAAAGCAACCAUGCGCGUCAUUCUUCAAGGUAGCAGUCGAGGGGGGGUCUAUCCGAUUCCCUUUACUCGUGCUUCGUCAUCUCGCCAUGCUUCAUCCAGUGUCCGUGUUUCGUCGUCGCAAUGGCAUCAACGUCUAGGUCACCCUACAAAUAAUGUGGUCACCUCCAUUGUUCGGAGUCAUGAUCUUCCCUGCUCUAGUUCAAAUACUUCACCAUUAGUGUGUGAUGCAUGUCAGCGUGCUAAGAGUCAUCAGCUACCGUAUUCCACGUCUUAUCAUGUCACUACUGUACCUCUUGAAUUAAUACAUUCAGAUGUUUGGGGUCCCGCUAUUGCGUCUUCGGGGGGGGGGGGUACAAGUAUUAUGCCAGUUUUGUUGAUGAUUACACGCGCUUCACUUGGAUUUAUUUGCUUAAACAUAAGUCCGAUGUUGACCAAGUCUUCUAUAACUUUCAGGCUCAUGUCGAACGCCUCUUGGAUUGCAAAAUCAAGGCUGUUCAGUCCGACUAGGGUGGUGAAUACCACAAGCUCCAUCGCUAUUUUCAACGCACGGGCAUCUCUCACCGUGUGUCGUGUCCACAUACAUCUCAGCAGAACGGUAUUGCCGAGCGCAAACACCGUCAUUUGGUCGAGACCGGUCUUGCCUUACUGGCACACUCGUCUCUCCCACUCCGGUUUUGGGAUGAGGCCUUUCUUACGGCAUGUUAUCUCAUCAACCGUAUGCCCACUCCGGUUCUCAACAAAGACACGCCUCUGUUCCGCCUGUUUCAUGUUCAACCCAAUUAUCCCUCUCUCAGGAUUUUUGGGUGUGCUUGCUGGCCUAGUCUCCGCAAGUAUAAUGCUCACAAGCUGGAGUUCCAUUCGAAGAUGUGUGUCUUCCUUGGCUAUAGCCCUCUGCAUAAGGGCUAUAAGUGUCUUGAUCGCACCUCGUGUAGGAUCUACAUCUCCCGUGAUGUUGUUUUUGACGAGUCAGUUUUCCCUUACUCCAGCCCGGGUGUCUCGGUUGACAUUGCCUCCAUUGAGCAUGCUCUCACGUUUCCAUCUAAUGAACCGGUUUCGAAUGUCCAUGUGCGGAAAUACGACCUGUCCUAUUUGUCACCUGACUUGUUUUCUGCAGAUGCUGCUCUAAUUUCUUCCCAGGAACCCGUCGUCACACCUGUAUCCACCGACGCGAUCGACAUGCAUGGCCCCGACGUGCAUGUCACGCCUCGCGAGGCAGCCUUGUCGGCCUCGCCCACUGGCGCGUCCGUGGUCCCGUCUGCCUCGCCCGCUGGCGCGACCGCAGGCACGACUGGGUUGCCCGUUGCGUUCCCCGCCUCGCCUGGGUCGGCCCAGCCUGCCUCGCCUACUUCGGUUGUCGUCGAGUCGCCAGCCGCAUCCUCUGGGCUGCCGUCUCCACCUGGAUCUCCCUCGUCGCCUGUUUCGGCCCAGUCCAAUGCGUCCCCCCGGCCCGUGUCGCCUGUUGCUGAUGAUCGUUCAACCGCGACACCACCGGCCGGGUCUCCUUCGUCGCCGCCACCUUCUACCGGUGAUGCAGCUACCGGGCACACUAUGGUCACCCGUCACCGCGAUCAUACGCGUAAGGCCAAGACAUACACGGAUGGUACGGUGCGGUACGACACUCGUCGGCGUGCAUUCUUCGCCGCACCCACCUCUCAUCGUGAUGCUCUUGAUGAACCGGCUUGGCGUGCCGCCAUGUCUGAGGAAUUUGGUGCCCUUCGUCACACAAACACAUGGGUGUUGGUGCCUCGGCCUCCUGGUGUUAAUAUUGUGGGUUGCAAGUGGAUCUUUAAGACCAAACAUCGUCCGGAUGGUUCUGUUGACAAGCACAAAGCUCGCCUCGUUGCUCGCAGUUUUACUCAACAGCAAGGGAUAGACUAUGGAGAUACUUUCAGCCCCGUGGUGAAGCCUACCACGGUUCGUCUGGUCCUCUCUCUCGCCGUUUCCCGCGGGUGGUGUCUUCGCCAGAUUGAUGUGAGUAAUGCUUUUCUUCACGGAUUUUUGGCCGAAGAUGUCUACAUGCAGCAGCCCCCUGGCUUUGAGGAUGCUUAUCAUCCCUCUCAUGUCUGCAAACUCCAGAGGUCCAUCUACAGGCUCAAACAGUCGCCGCGUGCCUGGUAUGCUCGGUUGAGUCAGCGUCUCUCACAGCUUGGCUUUGUUCCUUCCAAGGCGGAUGCGUCCUUGUUCAUAUUUUCACAUGGUGCUAUUCAGAUCUACAUGCUGGUGUAUGUUGAUGAUAUUGUGAUUGCCGGUUCUACACCUCAUGUGGUGGAUCGCCUUGUGCAGUCCUUGUCUGCGAGUUUUUCCAUCAAAGACUUGGGCAGGCUGGAGUACUUCUUGGAUUGGAAGCAUCCUUUCAUUCAGGGGGGCAUGACAUUGACACAGAAGAAGUAUGCACUUGAUCUUCUUCAUCGCGUCAACAUGGAGAACUGCAAGUCCACUUCCACUCAACUUGCUACAUCCGAGAGCCUCUCGCGUCACAGUGGAGCAUUGCUGAGUAUCGAUGACUCUUUCAGGUACCGCAGUGUAGUUGGAGCACUGCAGUAUCUGACACUCACCCGUCCAGAUAUCUCCUUUGCCGUGAACAAAGUGUGCCAGUUCCUGUCUCAGCCUACCCAGGUUCAUUGGGAAGCAGUUAAGCGUAUUCUGAGAUAUAUCAAAGGUACGCUAGACACGGGACUACGGAUUCGUAAGUCCAGAUUUACUGUAGUCAGUAUAUUCACCGACGCAGACUGGGCAGUUUGUGUUGAUGACCGGCGUUCUACUAGUGGCUUUGCUGUAUUUGUUGGACCCAAUCUUAUAUCUUGGAGUUCCAAGAAGCAACCUACGGUCUCGAGGUCUAGCAUCGAGGCAGAGUAUAAGGCAUUAGCAAAUGGCGCGGCUGAAGCCAUUUGGAUAUACACAGUUCUCACAGCCUGCUGAAGCCACUUAGAUUGGAAGCAUCAAAGACUUGGGCAGGCUGAAGCCACUUGGAGUCACACGGCAGCGCACACCCAUAUUGUGGUGUGAUAACUUAGGCGCAACUUACCUGACGGCGAAUCCAGUGUUUCAUGCUCGUACCAAACACAUUGAGAUUGAUUUCCAUUUUGUGAGGGAACGUGUAGCUGUUGGUAAACUGGAAGUCAGGUUUAUAUCAACUGAUGAUCAGUUAGCGGAUGUAUUUACUAAACCCGCUACUCGACAGAUGCUAGACCGUUUUAGAACCAAUCUGAAUUUUGUAUGUAGUUCAGAUUGAGGGGGCAUGUAAAAUAGGGUCUAGCGUAUUGUACAUGUACAUGUAUUUGUAUACGUAUGUAAUUGUAUUCUGAUCAUCUAUAUAUUGAGACGUGAGGCUGGAUGUUAGCCACUCACGCAAAACCCUAAACCCAGUGUUUCAACUGGCGGCUCGCCUCCCCUCCUAGAUUUGUCGGGUUUCACCACCGCCCCAACGCUGGCGAGCUCUGCCAUAGCCUAGCGCAUCCGGCCGUGCAGACAAGCUCUCCACGCCACCCGCCAUAGUAGCAGUCUGCGACUAGAUCCAGGUUUAGCUCUUUUUGCGGUGAUGCAUGUCGAUUUCGUCAGUAGUUUGUAGGAUGUUCUAGUAGAUCUAGCCGCAUGUUCAUCUAUGGGCGGAUGCAUGUCUUUGGCCGUCUUUAAUUUUUUUGAUAACUAAUGUAAGCUCAUGCCGUAGCCUUGAUCUGUAAGUACCUGCAGUCCGUGUAAAUCCAUCUCAUUAAACGCAUCUUUUAUUGGAAGAGAAAAAAUUCACAUAAUUAAGGUCAAAUGCAGCCUACCAAACAAUGUCUGCUAUAUAUUGCAUCUCUCGUGCGCCUAUAUCAUACAAUCCACCAAACAUACAUCUCGACUCAUCUUUGCAUCAGCUCAACCAGGCUAGACUCACCCAGGAUCCCUCAUGCGAUGCAGCCUAGAGCCACCCAAGCAACCAAACACCCCCAUAGAUCUUCCUUAUGAUGAUGAUGGUGGCAUGGCAACGAACAAGGUGAGAGUUGCUCCUCUUCACUGAAGUUUUGGAGAGGAUUUUGUGAGUGGAGAGGGGAGAGGAGACGGAUGGAGCAGAGCAAGGGAUGAGGCAAACAACAUAAACUCUGUUUUUCUAUCUGUUGUUAAAACAAAACAAAAAAAAACAGUUGGGGACCGUUAGCAUUCAACAAAUUUACGUCAGCAAUGCGAAAUGAACAGCUGAAUUCAGACCUCCAUUCUACCGUGACAUUCACAUGGAGGGUGUUUCAUAUCAUUUCAGGGAUGCCGAAAAAAAAUAUUCAUACCCAUAUCUGACAUUAGAUCGAUGAAUCACUGAAAACAAGAGGAAACCCAUGACACCGGCUGCUACCUUCAUAAAUCUUGACAGUAAAAAAAGAAA